AAUAAAGAACUAAAUGCAUACAUUACGCAAGAAUAAAAAUGAUAUCUUAUCUUCUAAAAAAUACAAUAUUUAGCCUUGUAUUGCCCCAAGUCCUUUCUCCCUGUAGUUCAUGGCAUAUAUAGCCCCGGCUAUAAUUUGGAAAACAUAACCAUGAUUACAACUUUUUUUAUUCCAAGAUAUUCAUUAGAAUACUUCUCAUCACAACAAUCUGGAACGUUGUUUUAAGUCAAAGAGAGGGGAUGAGGGUAGGUUGCAUCUAAAGGAGGGUGUUCGCUGCAAGCAGAACCACAUAUGCAUUCUUUCCUGGACCUAAAGCAAAGUUCUUGCUCAAGUACACAACAGAAGCACAAAUUAUUUGGGCAAGGUGGAGUAUUCUCUUGGCAUAGGCAUAUCGCGAUCUUGCUAGUAUCCACCUGAUUAGUUGCUCGAGCUGCAUAUCCAAAUAAGUGUGUUCUCAUUCAACAAGGUAUUACAAAAAAUAAUGUAUAAUUUCACAUAAUAACUUAUAGUAAUGGUUCUCAAUGAGAUUGCCCAAAAAUUAUAUAACCAAUAUCUUUACGAGAAGUUCAACUACAGUUGUUGUUGUUUACUCACCCCGAGGAAGUAUUACGAGGCACAAAAUCAUAACCAUCACGAGCAUAACCACCUUGCUUCUCUCCAUGGUAAAGCUUUCUCCUUUCUGAUAUGAGUCGUCUUCGUAUGCAAGGG
rnacentral:lncRNA from 1 species